AAGGAUUAACCGGUCGGUAAUACACAUAACUUUUCUGUUCUAAUCAGUGUGAAAACUGGUUUCCGACGUUUUUCGUUGGUCUUUUUCACAUUCAUUUUUGGAACUCUUGGUGGGCGCUUGCUUGCAAGUGUCCUCCGAGACGGUUUCCGGGGGCUUUCACCUUUCCCCCGCGAGGCCAACUACAU
rnacentral:snRNA from 1 species